CCUACGGGUGGCAGCAGUGAGGAAUAUUGGUCAAUGGACGAGAGUCUGAACCAGCCAAGUAGCGUGAAGGAUGACUGCCCUAUGGGUUGUAAACUUCUUUUAUAUGGGAAUAAAAUGUUCCACGUGUGGGAUUUUGUAUGUACCAUAUGAAUAAGGAUCGGCUAACUCCGUGCCAGCAGCCGCGGUAAUACGGAGGAUCCGAGCGUUAUCCGGAUUUAUUGGGUUUAAAGGGAGCGUAGGUGGAUUGUUAAGUCAGUUGUGAAAGUUUGCGGCUCAACCGUAAAAUUGCAGUUGAAACUGGCAGUCUUGAGUACAGUAGAGGUGGGCGGAAUUCGUGGUGUAGCGGUGAAAUGCUUAGAUAUCACGAAGAACACCGAUUGCGAAGGCAGUUCACUGGACUGCAACUGACACUGAGGCGCGAAAGUGUGGGUAUCAAACAGGAUUAGAUACCCCAGUAGUC
rnacentral:rRNA from 1 species